rnacentral:tRNA from 5 species
UGAAUCAUAGCCAAGUUGGUAAGGCAGUAGGUUUUGAUCCUACGAUCCCUGGUUCGAGUCCAGGUGGUUCAG